GUCAGCAGCGAUAGCACGUUGAAGGCACCAGUUCACAAUAGAUCACUAAAGUUAAGCAACUUUGGGAGUUGUUAGCAUCUGGAAGGGUCGCGUGCCGCUGGUU
rnacentral:rRNA from 1 species